CACCGAGAAAUACCCUAAGGUCAAUUGCUUGCUUAAACCAUAGACAUUAAGGAGUUCUAAACAGAGAAAUCAAACUAAAGCGAACUGUUUCUACAUCACGUGUCUUUGAACUACGUCACUAGCGCGGGAGUUAUUCAUUAUUCUGAGUCCUUCCUUUUGCAGCGUACUGACGGGACCACUUCGAUUCGCAUCUUUAUAACAUACCAGUAAGUAACAAUGUAAUCCUUUGCAUAAUUAACUGAUUUUAAUGAAACCCGUGGAACACUACAAUCCAGUAAGUAAAAGCAUUCACAUUUCUGUACAAUACAUGACAUUGCAAGGUUUGUCAACGUCCCUGAAACUGUUGCACAAUCACUUUACUAGCACUAUGAUUUGAUUUUCGAAUGGCUAUUUUCGUGCUACUUUGUAUGCGUUGUUUUUGGCAACCUUGUACUUUACAAAGUUUUUGGCACAGAUUCCUGUUGAAACGUUCCAAUUAUACCCACCCCCACAGUACUGUCACAGAGCCAGACAUAUGCUUUGAAAAUGGCAUAAAUGUCAAGAUAUUCUGUUCUCCUUAAUAAUAAUAGGAUGGUGUCAUCUAUGGCUAUUCCAUGUCAGGCUUUGUGGUUAAUGUGUCUUCCCUUAGAUUGGAAGGUUGGGGGUUCAAUCCCCCAGUCAAGUUAUACCAAAGACUCAAAUGUGACCUGAUGGAUCUGCUUGGCUUUCAGCACUAAGGAAAUGGAUUGGGGGCAAGGCCCUGAGGCAGACUAGCAUCCUGUCUAGGGAGUAUACUUUUACAUCAAGCUGCCUAACGAUAUACAGAAACAGGAGAUAGGCUAUUGCCCUAUGGGUCGUCAAGGCUUACUUAUUUACUAUGCCAGUUUGGGAUCAAGGAUUUGAAGACUCUUCCCAACCAAACUGGGUGUUGGGAUGUUGUUUGGAACUACCGGGCCUGUAACUUCAUGCGAGACAUGAAAGCGGGGCAGCAAGUAUUCUUCUAGCACAGUAACUGCAAGGAGCCUGGAAUAUCUGGAGUUAUGAAGAUUGUAAAGGAGUCCUAUGUGGACCAGUUUUACAAGAAAGAUGUCCAUUACGACACCUCCAGCAAGGCAGACAACCCCAGAUAGAGUAUGGAAUGAUUUCAUGUUUACAUUUGUUUGCGUUCCAAAUGGCUUGAGAUCAAGAUACAUCACUGAUAUGUAACAGGCUUUUUAAAAAUCACAAUCCAAUUUACUGUACUAGUACUCUGCUGGCUUGUUUCAUGUUUGACUGUCAGGUUGGUGUCCAGUUUGAGAGGAUGUUGAAUCACUUCAUUCCUCUGUCUGAGUUGAAGAAGACCCACCUGCAGCACAAGGCAGGCCCCUGAAUGGCAUGGCUCUCUUCACCAGGGUGUCUGUCCAGCCCCUCACCAGAGGUACGUGGAGAUCAGUGACACUGAGUAAUAUGGUUGUCAAAUCUCCACCUCAUCAUAGUUUACAAAGCUUUUGUCUAAGUAAAAUCAUAUAUUAAAAACAAAUUAAAGUGAGUUUGGAGGACAAAGACCCACUGUGAAGAUUUGGACAAGAUGAUGAUGAUGCUAAUAUGUUUACUGUCUAUUGAACCAUUGUGCUUGUAUUGAAUGAAAAUUGUCUCAAGGUUUCUGUGUUUGUCAGACACCCUGGAGUUUAUUUCUAAUAUUAAAUAUGUUUAUAUUAAGACA